UACGUAGGGGGCAAGCGUUGUCCGGAAUCAUUGGGCGUAAAGCGCGUGUAGGCGGCUUGGUAAGUCCGCUCUGAAAGCCCGGGGCUCAACCCCGGGAGGCGGGUGGAUACUGUCAAGCUCGAGUCCGGAAGAGGCGAGUGGAAUUCCCGGUGUAGCGGUGAAAUGCGCAGAUAUCAGGAAGAACACCUAUGGCGAAGGCAGCUCUCUGGGACGGUACUGACGCUGAGACGCGAAAGCGUGGGGAGCGAACAGG
rnacentral:rRNA from 1 species